rnacentral:rRNA from 1 species
AUUAAACGCUGGCGGCAUGCCUUACACAUGCAAGUCGAACGGCAGCACGGGGGCAACCCUGGUGGCGAGUGGCGGACGGGUGAGUAAUGCAUCGGAACGUGCCCUGAAGUGGGGGAUAACGCAGCGAAAGCUACGCUAAUACCGCAUAUUCUGUGAGCAGGAAAGCAGGGGAUCGCAAGACCUUGCGCUUUGGGAGCGGCCGAUGUCGGAUUAGCUAGUUGGUGGGGUAAAGGCCUACCAAGGCGACGAUCCGUAGCGGGUCUGAGAGGAUGAUCCGCCACACUGGGACUGAGACACGGCCCAGACUCCUACGGGAGGCAGCAGUGGGGAAUUUUGGACAAUGGGCGGAAGCCUGAUCCAGCCAUGCCGCGUGAGUGAAGAAGGCCUUCGGGUUGUAAAGCUCUUUCGGCGGGGAAGAAUUGCUUGGGUUAAUACCCUGAGUAGAUGACGGUACCCGAAUAAGAAGACACCGGCUAACGUACGUCGCCAGCAGCCGCGGUAAC